GACGAACGCUGGCGGCGUGCUUAACACAUGCAAGUCGAACGGAGAGGCCCUGCUUUUGUGGGGUGCUCGAGUGGCGAACGGGUGAGUAACACGUGAGUAACCUGCCCUUGACUUUGGGAUAACUUCAGGAAACUGGGGCUAAUACCGGAUAGGAGCUCCUGCUGCAUGGGGGGGGUUGGAAAGUUUCGGCGGUGGGGGCUGGACUCGCGGCUUAUCAGCUUGUUGGUGGGGUAGUGGCUUACCACGGGUUUGACGGGUAGCCGGCCUGAGAGGGUGACCGGCCACAAUAGGCCUGCGAUACGGCCCAGACUCCUACGGGCGGCAGCAGUGGAGAAUAUUGCGCAAUGGGGGGGCGCCUGUUACGGCAACCCCGGGAGCGGAAUGACGGCCUUCGGGUUGUAAACCGCUUUCGCCUGAGACGAAGCGUGAGUGACGGUAACGGGUCAAAAAGCAACGGCUAACUACGUG
rnacentral:rRNA from 1 species